AUACAUUAGAUUAAAAAAAAAAAUCAGAACAAAGACUGUUCUGUGCUUGUAACAUCUGGAAAGUUUCCAGGAACCUCGAGUAGAAUGAAAAAUGAUUUCCGGGGGGUGGGGGUGGGGGGCAAUCUUAAAUAAAAAUUGUAGAUCAGUUCCGGAUUCACCACAAAGGAAACAGCAUUCUUUAUGUCAAAAAUGAACACAUGAGAAAAAUCACCCAAAACCCAAAUUAAGUAACGUUCCACAAACUAACAGCCUGUAUCUCCAAAAAUGGCAAUGUCAAACAAAACAACAUCAGCGUCAUGAAACACAAAACAAGGCUGACAGGCUUUUCCCCAUUAAAGGAGGCUAUAGAGUCCUGAAAACCAACCGCAGUGUUGUACCUGGACCCGGCCCUGGGCUGAGAACAGUUCUAGAAAGGACUUACAGGGGACAUCUGAGAAAGGAAAGGUGGCCGAAGUGGGUCCCUGGAUUCACUACGGCAGAGCGAAGCCGGCAUCUCGAAGCUGGGAGUGCUUUCCUGAUCCAUCCACGCCGCGCAAGCUGACCACACGGAAGGUUCUGCCACUCCAGAGGUUCCGGGAGACCGCAGCCCUGCUUUAGUCACUCCGGAAGCUGACUGAGCUACGCACGCCAGGAGCUUGAGGAAUCGAAGGGGAAUCGAAGAGCAUGCGUCGUGCCGGAGUUCAAACCCCAGGCUCAGAUCGGUUCCUGUAAACCGCUGCCCCUUUCUCUCCUCACCUCAAGCGUUUCCUUCACCCUGGCUCACCCCCCGGACUCCCGCCCUGCGCGAUCUGCUAUCAGGACACUCCCCAUAUUCACCAAUAAAUUCCUUUACCAGACACCAACCGAGAGCUUGCUGAUUGCAUCAGAACCUGCCCACAUUUUAUUCCAGUUUAGGUUCUCAAGAGGGCAGAGUGCCCACGAUUCAUUACUUCAAGAUGAACAGAUUGCAAAUCCACCAGGACAUUAAAGAAGCGAGGGUGGGGAUACCAAAUAGGCAUUUUACAAAAUGUCCUGGUGAGAGAGAAUUUUGUAAGAAUGUUAAUUAUAUAGAAUGGUUUCGUAUCGGGCACCUGGCUGGCUCAGUUGGUGGAACGUGUGGCUCUU